GAACGGAGAUAUCUGAGUAGUAAUAUGAAGAUAUUUAGUGGCGGACGGGUGAGUACACGUGGGUAACCUGCCCUAUGGAGGGGGAUAACAUUCAGAAAUGAGUGCUAAUACCGCAUAAAAUAACUUUAUCGCAUGAUAGAGUUAUCAAAGAUUUAUUGCCAUAGGAUGGACCCGCGGCCCAUUAGCUAGUUGGUGAGGUAACGGCCCACCAAGGCGACGAUGGGUAGCCGAUCUGAGAGGAUGAACGGCCACAUUGGAACUGAGACACGGUCCAGACUCCUACGGGAGGCAGCAGUGGGGAAUAUUGCACAAUGGGGGAAACCCUGAUGCAGCAACGCCGCGUGAGCGAUGAAGGCCUUCGGGUCGUAAAGCUCUGUCUUAGCUGACGAUAAUGACGGUAAGCUAGGAGGAAGCCACGGCUAACUACGUGCCAGCAGCCGCGGUAAU
rnacentral:rRNA from 1 species